ACCCGCACAAGCGGUGGAUGAUGUGGAUUAAUUCGAUGCAACGCGAAAACCUUACCUACCCUUGACAUGUCCGGAAUCCUGCAGAGAUGCGGGAGUGCCCGAAAGGGAAUCGGAACACAGGUGCUGCAUGGCUGUCGUCAGCUCGUGUCGUGAGAUGUUGGGUUAAGUCCCGCAACGAGCGCAACCCUUAUCAUUAGUUGCUACGCAAGGGCACUCUAAUGAGACUGCCGGUGACAAACCGGAGGAAGGUGGGGAUGACGUCAAGUCCUCAUGGCCCUUAUGGGUAGGGCUUCACACGUCAUACAAUGGUCGGUACAGAGGGUUGCCAAGCCGCGAGGUGGAGCCAAUCCCAGAAAGCCGAUCGUAGUCCGGAUUGUUCUCUGCAACUCGAGAGCAUGAAGUCGGAAUCGCUAGUAAUCGCGGAUCAGCAUGUCGCGGUGAAUACGUUCCCGGGUCUU
rnacentral:rRNA from 1 species